CAGCAGCCGCGGGAAUACGUAGGGUGCGAGCGUUAAUCGGAAUUACUGAGCGUAAAGCGUGCGCAGGCGGUUGUGUAAGACAGGUGUGAAAUCCCCGGGCUUAACCUGGGAACUGCGCUUGUGACUGCACAGCUAGAGUAUGGCAGAGGGGGGUGGAAUUCCACGUGUAGCAGUGAAAUACGUAGAGAUGUGGAGGAAUACCGAUGGCGAAGGCAGCCCCCUGGGCCAAUACUGACGCUCAUGCACGAAAGCGUGGGGAGCAAACAGGAUUAGAUACCCCUGUAGUCCCUGUCUCUUAUAC
rnacentral:rRNA from 1 species